rnacentral:rRNA from 1 species
UGUUUAGAACUCAAAGAACUUGGCGGUGUUUUAGCCAGCUAGGGGAACCUGUCCUUUAAUUCGAUAAUCCACGAAAAUCUUACCUGUUCUGGUUUUCAGUUUGUAUACCGUCGUCGAAAGCUGGCACCAAAAGGGGUUAGAAGCUAGCAAGAAAGAUUUUUCUCUUGUAAGUCAGAUCAAGGUGCAGCCUAUGAAUAGGGAGGAGAUGGGUUACAAUUAAUAAUUUUUAUUGGAGUUCUAAUGAAAUUUAGUUAAUGGAAAGAGGACUUAGCAGUAAUUUCUUAGUUAAAGUUAAGAGAUGAAGUAGGCUCUAGAGCGUGUACAAAUCGCCCGUCAC